rnacentral:tRNA from 1 species
GGUAAGGGGGCUCAGUGGCAGAGCACUUGCCUUGCAUGCAUGAGGCCCUGGGUUCAAUUCCUCAGCACCA